UACGUAGGUGGCAAGCGUUAUCCGGAUUUAUUGGGCGUAAAGCGAGCGCAGGCGGUUUUUUAAGUCUGAUGUGAAAGCCUUCGGCUUAACCGAAGAAGUGCAUCGGAAACUGGGAAACUUGAGUGCAGAAGAGGACAGUGGAACUCCAUGUGUAGCGGUGAAAUGCGUAGAUAUAUGGAAGAACACCAGUGGCGAAGGCGGCUGUCUGGUCUGUAACUGACGCUGAGGCUCGAAAGCAUGGGUAGCGAACAGG
rnacentral:rRNA from 1 species